rnacentral:tRNA from 1 species
GAGGGGAGUUAAGAACACCAAGAACUGCUAAUUCUUCACACUAGCGUUAAAAUCGUUAGGCCCCUUA